GACGAGCCACACAAACGUUAUUCGGAAUUACUGGGCUUAAAGGGUGCGUAGGCGGUGCGGAAAGUUGGGUGUGAAAUCCCUCGGCUCAACCGAGGAACUGCGCCCAAAACUACCGCACUCGAGGAAGAUAGAGGUGAGCGGAACUUACGGUGGAGCGGUGAAAUGCGUUGAUAUCGUAAGGAACACCCGUGGCGAAAGCGGCUCACUGGGUCUUUUCUGACGCUGAUGCACGAAAGCUAGGGGAGCAAACGGG
rnacentral:rRNA from 1 species